rnacentral:lncRNA from 1 species
ACACUAUUGCGCUGUGACAGAAAUCAAGGAGAUCUCUGCAGACCAUAACCACUUGCUGAGGGGAGGUUAAAGUUGCUGAAAAUCCUAUUUGACCUUCUCAAUGGAGUUAAUGAGUCAGAAGACUUCCUGUGGAUAAUCCAAUGAGGUGGAUAAAAAGGUCCUGAACUACUUGGCAUGAAGUCAAUGCCAGAGAAUUCCCUUACCCUCUAAUCCCCACGAGCAGAACAGCACAAUCCCAUCUUCUCUCAGGAUUUUAUGGGGUUGUCAUCAUUAUUGUUGAGCUUUCUCUGUGGCCAUUGUCUUUUAUGGGAAAGCACAGUAUAUAAAUUAACAACAAAAUGUCUCCGAUGUCAAUCAGGAGCUCGAUAUUACAAGAUACAGGAGAACUCUGCCCAUAUUCUUGACAUGUUUUCAUUCUUUAUUUUUAUCUACAAUAUCCCAUAGGCCAGGACCCAGUUGUACUGUGUUUAACAUCAAUUUAAGUUUAGUUAAGUAAACUCAAUAUACUUAGUAGAUACUGUUCAAAACUUUUGUUUCUUUGUUUAUUCAGUCUGUUAGAUGUUAUAAAGCAGACUCAGAAAGAAAUGAAGUCUUUUGUGAGCUUCUGAGAUACAACUUCCAAUGCAAAACACUGUAACCUCUGCAGCCUGCAGCUGACUUUUUCUUCCAGAUUUAGGGAUAAUUUUACUAAAAAGCAGUCUGUCACAUUUAAUGAUGCAUUCGGGAUCCAACUGUCUGCUGUGAUUUGAGGUAGAGUUUACCUCAAGGCAUGUUAGCUCCCUGGAUAAUUAGGUGCCCAGUUGCAUCUGGUCAUCUGGGCUCUUGGGAAAGCCAGCAAGAGAGGGACCAACCUUCUGGGAAACAGGGAAAAUUGGAAAACCCAGCCAGACAUCCAUCUGACACCAAGAAAACUGUAUUACCCAGGAGACACGCUCUGCUUCCAGGAACUUCACUCAGCGCCUGUGCAGGAGCAUAGCAAGAGGAAUAGGACUCUGUUAGAAGUGGGUGAACCUCACGGAGUCUGACAUUUUGCAAGCAACUCACAUUUUAAUUCUGUGGGCUUUUCAGAGCUGGUUCCUGCUCACAAAACCCUUUGUACUUGCAGUUUGAACUUUUGUUCCCUGAGGAUGAGUCAAUUAAACAAACACAAAAGAAUGCUGGCUAAGGGCUCUGGGGACAGAAGAGACUACCACAAGUUCAGCUACAGCUGAGGAUGGGUUAUAUGUGGGCUAAAUUCAGCUCUAGAAUUUCUUGGUGGAAUAAAGUUUUCUAAGACUUUCUCUUUAAAUUGUAA